UCCUGGCUCAGGAUGAACGCUGGCGGCGUGCUUAACACAUGCAAGUCGAGCGAAGCAUUUAAAGGAAGUUUCGGAUGGAAUUAGAAUGACUUAGCGGCGGACGGGUGAGUAACGCGUGGGUAACCUGCCUCAUACAGGGGGAUAACAGUUAGAAAUGACUGCUAAUACCGCAUAAGCGCACAGUGCUGCAUAGCACAGUGUGAAAAACUCCGGUGGUAUGAGAUGGACCCGCGUCUGAUUAGGUAGUUGGUGAGGUAACGGCUCACCAAGCCGACGAUCAGUAGCCGACCUGAGAGGGUGACCGGCCACAUUGGGACUGAGACACGGCCCAAACUCCUACGGGAGGCAGCAGUGGGGAAUAUUGGACAAUGGGGGAAACCCUGAAUCCAGCGACGCCGCGUGAGUGAAGAAGUAUUUCGGUAUGUAAAGCUCUAUCAGCAGGGAAGAAAAUGACGGUACCUGACUAAGAAGCCCCGGCUAACUACGUGCCAGCCGCCGC
rnacentral:rRNA from 1 species